GGGGAUGUAUUGUCUCGACAGGUUAGCUCUUUAAAAACUGCAAGCCGCUGAAGAAAUCUUAAGCGUUAAAUAUGGUUUCAAAACACAAACGCCACUAAAAAAGGUGUUUCCUUUAGGGAUGAAGUGUUAAGCCUCUUGGCUCUAAAAGGUCAAGGCAGCUUCGCACUCGCAGCCUAACAAGGUACUUUAGAAAUUAUCUUCUUUUUGACGGGAUACUAAGGUAAAUACAAAGUCAAAAUGCUGCUUUUUUGGUGUUGGUUGAUCCGAAAAAAGCAAAAGAUAACUCAAUCAUUCGUUAGUUUUCCGGCUGACAGGUUACAACUAAUGAAUAAAAAAUUAAUCAGCUAAGCUUGUAGAAGUUUUUAUUGAAACUUACUUGGACUCGGCUUCACCGCCGACAUCUCCACCA
rnacentral:tmRNA from 1 species